rnacentral:lncRNA from 1 species
GGGGGAAUAGGGCUCUCUGUCCAGCCAUCCUAUCAAAGCAGUGAACAAGAGGCCAGUGAGAAAGCCUGUCUCAGAGAACAGAGUGGACAGCUCUUGAGGAAUGACCUCAAGGUUGACUCUGGCUUCCACAAAUAAGCAUGACCUGGAUUCACUCGCACACAUGUGCACACAUACAUUCAGACCUGCCCAUAGAUACACAUAAGAGGCUAUGACCGACUUGAAACACCUUGUCCAGAUCAAGUAUUUUCAUCCAAUUACAUGAUCAAUGUCAACAUCAGGCCCUGGCCCUAGAAACACCAGCCUUAGGAUCCAGGCCUGCCACGUGGCCAUGCUACAUAGAUCUGUGACAUUUUAUAACAUUUUUAAGUGACUUAGGAUAAAUGUCACUAGGCUACUGCAAAAGUAAAUGAAUGACCUUUAAAUAUGAUCAUUAACUAGCUCUUUCCUUGUCCAAGCAUGACUCCCUGCCCUUUUACACAAACUCCAGAUGUCUGACUCCCUGAACCUGACCGUCCUAAUUAGCAGAGCCCUAAUCUUUCCUUGACCAUCUCCUGUUCAGAAGUGGAGAAGUUAUCCAUCAACAGUCCCUGCCUGGAAAGAGCUUGGCUUCUGCCCUCCACAUGGCAUGCGGAUUUCCUUUUAUCUAAGAGAAAACCUAGAGUCCACCAGGAAGGCUGAGUGCCGCACAGAGGCCAGACAGAGCAGCCAUCAUUACUCCCUCCCUGCCGCCUCCUGCCUGUCUUCUAUGCCUAGCUAGCUGUUUCCUAAGGAUCAGAAGAGGAGUUUCUCCCUUGUCUUUCUGGUUGGUUUCUGUAGUUUUGCAAUGAAGCCUUCAGUGAAGCACAGGCCCUUAACCCCCUGCGUCAGGCUCCACCAUGCCUGAGACAUGACGAGACCUAACUCUCGAAAACUCCUUGCUCAGGCCAAGUGUUAAGCUUUCAUGAGUAUUAAUUUUAAAAAUGCAGCAAUCGCUACCAGCAAUUACAAACAGCUUCAAGGACACAAGUUAUUAGCCAUUUUACCUAUGCCUGACCCUAGUUCAAGCGAUGUAUUUCAUGAUGUCUAUUUGCUUCCAUUCUGGUUUCAAAUGAAAUGAAUAGGGGUGAAGCACACAACAAAAUUACAAAUAUCUCCUUUAGACAUGUUUCUUAACUCUUAACUCUCACUAGAUUAGAGAAACAACAAUGAAGUUAAAAACAGGACUGGGGUGAGAGGAAAGCGAUGGACAACCAAUAUGCUUUAGCUCUCCAAUUAUGCCAGGAGCCAUGCCAAGUGUUUUAGACUCUUUGACCCUUAUCAAUCUCUGAGCCCCCAUGUAGCAGAUGAGAAACCUGAGGUGCACAGAAAUUCGUUUACUCAUCCUGGUUGUCUACCUGUAAAAUCACAAUGCUAGAUGCUAACACUCGUCUCCAUAAAUACUACUCCAGGCUCCAAGCUUUGUUUGUUUCUAUGUUAAUGAUUCCUGCAUGCAACUGUUGAACCAACCUUACCCCUGGGAGAUAUGAGCACAUGGCUACUUAUGCCAGAUGAAACACUGGGGCAGACCAAAGGAAGAAUUCAACCCAAGUUUAACUUGGUAAUCUAAUGAGUUUAUAGGUAUACUUUCAGGGACAUGGGUAAAGGGUUAUACACUGAAGCGUGGUAACCCCUAAACGACUCACCCCACCUUGGAUGAUGACCUCAUGGUAGUAACAUCACAGAUGCCCUCGGUUAAACCUCUACUUCCUUACUUAUUCUAGCAUUUCCAAAGAUCACUUGCAGCUGCGGUGGGAGGCAGAAGGAAGGAAUGGCUAGCAUCCCAAAUCAGGCUGCUAUGUCCUCCCUGACUUCUAAUAGGGAGUGUUAGCAGCUAUAUCAACAUGGCCAUAGUUAUCAAUGUAUUAUCCUGUUUAUUUGGUUGCCAUGGCUACUGAGCCAUGGUUCUCUUUAUUCCAAGAUGAUAUUUGAGUGUUCACGCGAUGUCCAAAAGAAGAAGCCAUAGCACUAAUAGCUAAGGUUGCAGUUCAUUUCUGUCACUUUAUGUCUUGUAGUUUUAAUGAGAAAUGCCCCCCCCCAGGGUCAUAUAAUUAAGCACUUGUUUCCUAGUUGGCGACACUGGGGAGAUUAUGGAACCUUUAGAAAGUGGCACCUUACUGGGAGGUAAGUAUGUUCCUCAGAGUGGACUUUGAGGGUUUAUAGUAUCACCCUGCUUCCUGUUAAACACACACACACACACACACACACACACACACACACACACUCUUUCUCUCUCCUCCCUGUGCAGAACUGAGACGUGAUAUAUCAGCUUCCUGUUCCUGUAACCCAUCACUUGCCUUGCCCACUAAGAUGGAGUCUGUCCUUCUUAGGAGUAUGAGCUAAAAUAAAGCCUUUCUUUCUUACGUUGCUUUUGCCCAUGGUAUUUUAAUCAAAUCAACAGAAAAAUAACUCACACAUUAUGAAUAGAUUUACAAUAAAAUGUUAGUGAAGACAUAAGUGCCAAAUCCACACCACUAACCAUUUACUUAUUGUAAGGGCUUCAUGUUCUUAGGACCCUUUGCAAUCUGUUCACAGAAAUCUCGUCCCUUUGUCUUGUUUGUGAUCAUUGAGUUUGUGAGCAUUGCACAGGAACUAAGAACAUACCUAACAUUGCACAAUGCUGGAAAUAAAUGAACAAGAAAGGACCCACACUUCCACUGAGACCAAAGUCUGAGUAAGAAGACUUGUAUAUUGAGUUUAUAUUAAAAAGCUUAUGUUCUUUCUUAUGCAUUUUUUGUGGCAAGGGGUUUUCAACAAGACUUUAUUGGGUUUCUUCUGUCAGUUAAUAACUAAUAGUUAACCUUCCAGUGUUUGAGUCCUCCUACUUUUAGAAGCUCUUCUGCUGUAAGGCAUUCUGGGGUCUUUAAACCCUCUCCUAUCUUGUGGUCUUCCCACUUGACCUCAGCCUCUCUCCACAACCAAGAGAACGUUCCCCUGGAGUAUUUUGAGUUUCAUUUCUGUAGAACCAUGAACUCUCCUGAUUAAUUCAACUGCCUAUCUCUUGCUCCACCUCCUAAAUGGUGUCAUCUGACAAUGGCUACAGUAGAGAUCUUAUGGAGCAGGCUUCUUAAAUGUCUUUGCUUUGGUUAGAUUUUCAAGCAAAGGGGGGGGGUGGUGCACAUGCUUGUAAUUCCAGCACUAGGAAGACAAGGUAGGCAAAUCCCUGUGAAUUCGAGGUCAUGCUGGUCUACGUGCCAAGGUCAUGCUGGUCUACGUGCCAAGUUCCAGGUCAUCCAGGACUACACAGGAAGACCAGUCUCCAAACAAAAUCCUUCAUCUUGGGGCUGGAGAAAAGGUUCAGUGGUUCAGAGUGUUUGGUCUUUUUACUUAAGACCUGAGUUUGAUUCGCAGAACCUGCUUGGGGUUGUCCACGACUCUGUACCUACAGUUCCUGGGAUAUUCUCUCUUCUGGCCUCUAUGACCACUGCAUCCUUUUGUACAUAGCUGCAUAUACAUACAUAUAUACAUACAUACUAAAUAAAUAAAUAAAUUAUUAUGAAUAAUUAGAUCUGUUUUAAAGCAGAAGGUGGACAUGUUAGGGUCCCAUGAGGACCUCAGUGACAUAUACAAGCCUUAUUUACAACUUCUCUUUCAUUGUUCUGUAGAUUUCUACCAAUGUAGGUUACAACUCAUUUCUUCCAGUGGAGAGUGGAUAUAGGUCACUCCCAGGAUGCACUUAGCCCCACCAUUGAUAGACAUAGGUACACACAUUCUGUUCUUAUGUUCUUAUUUGGUCAUUUGUGGAGAAAAGUUAUAAAGAGCCCACAGCCAAAAAUCCAAGCCCCCAGUAUGAAUUUCCUGCUUGACUUGGUACAGUAGUGACAAACUCUAGGGUCUGGGCUCUGAUGGACUCAGAAACUUUUAUGUCUCUCCAGAAUUCACAUAACAUAUGGUCAAUAUACUGUCCAUGUGAUAGUUAAUAUUGAUUACCAAUGUGGAGAUAAAUCUCUGAGCAUGUCUGUAGAUUGAUUCUCUAAUUUUGUUAAUUGAAAUAGAAAUCAUCACCCAAAUGCAAGUGGCAUAAUGGCACGGGUGGCAGUCCUAGACUACAUAAAAAGAAACCUGGGAUCUGAGCACCAACAUGCAUCGCCCUCUGCUUCCUGACUGUGGUUGCCAUGUGAUCAGCUGCCUCCGAAACACCCUGCUUUCAUGGCUUCCUUGCCAUGAUGAACAGUAGUAUUAAGCCACGCAUUCCUUAGUUUCCUUUUAUCAGGUGUUCAACAGCAAUGAGAAGAAGUAACUAGUAUAGUCAACAUAAGCAGAAGCAUAUUGUUUGUAGGCAAUACAAACGUCUGAGAAAGCAAGUAUCCGAGAUGCAUUUACAAUUCGACCCAUCAGUCACUCCAUAAGUGAAAAAUUAAAUGAAAAUUAUUUCUACUGAUAGUAGAGAUAUAGCGGGGAUGGGGAACAAAGAAUUAAAUCCUCUAAUUUGUCACUGGCCAUCUAUCUCUUCCACAAACAAUUUCUAGACUCUUGUCUGUUUCAUGUUGUUCCAUUAACUGAACUUAAUAGGAAUGAAAUCCUGGCAUCUGUUUACUAUGCUGCAGCCUGGUACUUCAAGGGUUCAAACUCCAUAGACUUCUGGAAAAUAUAUCCCUCUGAUAUAAGACCUCUCUCCUCCAGAAAAGCCCGAACAAAAACUGGCCCAGAGUGCCUUGCAGAUAAAGGAACUUCAGUCCUGACUGCCCAGAAGUCUGAGGAAUGAGGUGGUUGUCUGUGUUCACACAUCUCUUUUGCAUUCAUGCUGCAGGCCACCUUAUUCCGGGCUGAAAAUGAGUGUGAAGCUCAUUUUCUUCCACCUUUGUUUAAUUAAUAGGAACACUUCCCAAAGGAUCGACUCCUUUAAAAUUUUAAUAAAGUUGCUGAGCUCUUGAGUUGUUUUGCCAUGAUACAGCGCCACAAUUGUUGUGUCGAUUUAGCCCUCUUAAUUGUGCCUGCAAUGUGCAUACGUGCUUGAAAAUGAAAUGGGCUGAAACAUGAGUUUUUGAAAUAGCAAGUGACUUAAAAAGAGACGAUAUGGGCCUAGGCACUUCAUAUUGUUAAGAUCUACCACUUACCAUAAAAAGCUACAGUGGGCUCGGAACAAAGAGUUUGUAUCUGGAAUAGGGCCAGGACCAUGGGAGAAGUAAAAACUCUCCUCUCUGUGGCUGAGAUCCCAGAGCCAAGAUUCUCUUGCUGAGUCUACAAGUCUGAGCAGUUCACUCUGCCCGUGCUGUGCCAGGAGAACUGAAAUGGAUCAAUAACGUAUAUGGUCUAUCAUACAAUAUCCUGAUGGACAACAGUCACAGACUCAUGCCCUAGUGCCAUAGCUCAUUAUCUGAAGGUCUUGGGCAAGUCACAAACAAUGCCAAGACCCUGCUCUCUCAUCUCUUGACUUACUGAGAGGCUGGUGCAAACGUUUCCACAGUUAGUGAGAGAAUCAAAAUGGACUGGAUACCAAGUGGAUUUCUCGUCCAUCCUUCCUCUGACCUGGGAUAAAGUGUUCCCUCAAGAGCUACUUAUUGAAGGAACAGUUCAUGGUUGAAGAACUUCGAAACUCAGCCUGAGUUAGCCACACAGCAAUUAUCCAUCCAAACAUAUCAAAGAAACAACCAAUCUCUUAUCGGCGAAUUAAAUUCAGCAUCACUUAGCCAAUUGCCUUUAUACUUGGCAGACACAAAGUAAAAGAUUUCUAAGAUCUGAGUUUAUUCUGGAAGCCAAAAAGUAACCCUGGGAUUUGGUCACCGUAAUGAUGAAUCUGAGUAUAAGUCCAUAGCUCCUCCAACACAGGCUGUGGUUAAGUAGGACUCUGGGCUUGUAUGGACAAUAAGGGCCAGAAGCCAAGUAUAGAAACGCAGCCCAGCAGACAGAACACCUCACUUUGCCAAAGAUUAACAAGAUCAUUUUGGGGAGUUUGAGGGGAUUAGGGGAAGUAAAGCAAGG